GACGAACGCUGGCGGCGUGCUUAACACAUGCAAGUCGAACGGAAAGGCCCUGCUUUUGUGGGGUGCUCGAGUGGCGAACGGGUGAGUAACACGUGAGUAACCUGCCCUUGACCUUGGGAUAACUUCAGGAAACUGGGGCUAAUACCGGAUAGGAGCUCCUGCUGCAUGGUGGGGGUUGGAAAGUUUCGGCGGUUGGGGGUGGACUCGCGGCUUAUCAGCUUGUUGGUGGGGUAGUGGCUUACCAAGGCUUUGACGGGUAGCCGGCCUGAGAGGGUGACCGGCCACAUUGGGCCUGAGCUACGGCCCAGACUCCUACGGGAGGCAGCAGUGGAGAAUGUUGCACAAUGGGCGGAAGCCUGCUGCAGCAACGCCGCGUGCGGGAUGACGGCCUUCGGGUUGUAAACCGCUUUCGCCUGUGACGAAGCGUGCGUGACGGUAAUGGGUAAAGAAGCACCGGCUAACUACGUG
rnacentral:rRNA from 1 species